rnacentral:rRNA from 1 species
GACGAACGCUGGCGGCGUGCUUAACACAUGCAAGUCGAACGGAAAGGCCCUGCUUUUGUGGGGUGCUCGAGUGGCGAACGGGUGAGUAACACGUGAGUAACCUGCCCUUGACUUUGGGAUAACUUCAGGAAACUGGGGCUAAUACCGGAUAGGAGCUCCUGCUGCAUGGUGGGGGUUGGAAAGUUUCGGCGGUUGGGGAUGGACUCGCGGCUUAUCAGCUUGUUGGUGGGGUAGUGGCUUACCAAGGCUUUGCCGGGUAGCCGGCCUGAGAGGGUGACCGGCCACGUUGGGACUGAGAUACGGCCCAGACUCCUACGGGAGGCAGCAGUGGAGAAUAUUGCACAAUGGGCGGAAGCCUGAUGCAGCACCGCCGCGUGCGGGAUGACGGCCUUCGGGUUGUAAACCGCUUUCGCCUGUGACGAAGCGUGAGUGACGGUAAUGGGUAAAGAAGCACCGGCUAACUACGUG